rnacentral:piRNA from 1 species
UAGGAAAUUCUUUUUUGUGUUUGUGG